rnacentral:piRNA from 1 species
UGAGGGACUUGGGAAUAUCCACUUG